GCACUAUUAUCCCUGCCACCACCAACCAGAAAUCCUUCAAGAUCAUUCAGGAGCUUCAAUUUAGCAAUCCCUUUUGGAACCUGGUUUAUUGGUGUUCCAGCAAGGCCAAGGCACCUUAAGUUGCACAACCGAGUGAUUCCUAAAGGGAGACUAUGCAAAGCAUGGCACCCCUGCAAGUUCAAUAUCUGAAGGUUUUCUAGUGAACCAAUAGACUCAGGAAGACAAGAUAUGUCAGUUCUAUCAAGAUCAAGUAACCGUAGAUGGAUCAAUCUUCCAACACAAUUUGGAAUACUUUGUAUAACUGACCCAGUUAGAUCCAAAACUCGAAUAUAUGGAAGUCUUCUAAAUAUUGUAUUAUCAACUCUCAGUGACUUUUCAUAAGAUGUUCUCCAAGUUCUAACUUUAUAUUGAUCCUUAUCCAUGCAAGGUAGCACCACUAUAUCCUUCUCAGUGACUGCUAAAAUACGUCUAAAUUUACUCAUGACACUAACUCUUAUUGAUCCUGGAUCACCAACAAAAUAUUCUUCUCCAGAUAAAUGAUAAGCAAGCUGCCUUAAUAGGUCAUGCACUCUGCAAUGACUAAGAUCAGCCAUUAUAUAAUUUGGUUGGAGGAGAUUCCGAUAUAUCAACUCAUAAUAGUAUUCUUCAGCUGUAUCUUCCAAUAGUUGGCCACCUAGCUCAUCAAUGAAGCCUUCAGCCACCCACGUCCUAACAAUAUCAUCACGGUAAAUAACAGCGUCUUCAGGAAACAUGGCACAAUAGAGAAAAUACGGCUUCAAACAGAGUGGUAGCUCUUCAUAACUUAUAUAUAAAGCACUUGGUAUUUCAAGUUUGCUCACGGACCAAGCAUCUUUUCUUGAAAACUUGUUCCAUUCAUUCUCAAUUUGUUCUUUCCUGGCUAAAACCCUUGCAACAACCUUAAUUGCAAGAGGAAGACAGCCACAUCUGCGAACAAUAUCUAUUCUCAAGUCUCGCAGAUUUUGCACUUCUUUUUCAUGGUUGAUUCCCAUGCUCUUCCAAAGCAGCUCCCAUCCUACGUCCACCGACAUUAAGUCAACUCGGUGUGUAUGGUCCACUCCAAUUUCUACAGCAACAGUGUCGAGUCGAGAUGUCAACAGAAUUAUUCCUAUGGCUGCAGCAUGCAAUGGGGUGCUCGGUAAAUUUUCCCAUAUGUCAGACUGCCACGCAUCAUCCAACACAAGAAAGAAGCUCUUCUUUUGGAUGGCUAAUUUUAGCCUGCUUUGGAGCUCAUCAAUUGAUUCAUCCUGCAUAUACUGUACUUCAAAUUUUCGAAGAAUCUCCUUCAGAAUAGUAACCUCGGAGUAAUCUUUGGAGACACAAACCCAUGCUUGUUUGUCAAAGCACCCGUUUAUUUUCUGGUCAUUGUAAAUUUUUUGUGCUAGUGUUGUCUUACCAACUCCUCCUGUUCCAACAAUGGCAAUUCUGUAAGACCUCUUAUCCUUAUGUUCAAGUAGCAAAUCUACUAGUUUUCUGCAAGCAUGUAUGACCUCCUUACCCAUAAGAUUGGGUUCAACAAGGUUGGAACUUCUUAUGUGUUUCGGUGCUGACCUCCUUACCCACAAGGUUGGAACUUCUUAUGUGUCAUGUAUGGUCAUGUAUGACUUUGCUGCUUCCUGGUUCGGGCGUGGUGACCGCGCUGCUUCGCCUUCAAGAGCGGCGCGCUGUUGCAACGCCGUGCGCCGCCGAGCAACUCCAGGAGCUCGACAACUCGAGCCGGCGACGGUGUAUCUCACCUGGACGCGCCGUCGCCUGGUCCGCGCGUUGGCAAGGCCGCUCGACGGCCACCCACCGUGCUGCCUCGCUGCUCAAGGACGCCGGCGGCCUGGGCGGUGCAUGCCUUGGUCGACGCCGCCUUAGCUUGUCAGCGAACGCGCAGAGCCGAUGGAGUCGUGGUUCUCGAGGGGCCGGUUGGAUGGAUUGUGAUCUGUAGACGACGCGUCCGUGUGACGAGCAGAGUAAGACAAGGAGGGACCCCGUGUAUGUGUGUUGGUUCCUUUCGAAAUGCAGACGCGCGUGCGACUCUGAAGAAGCAACCGCUCUGCACUGUCCUCAGUCCUGUCCUGCUGGCCUUCAUUUGCUGCAUUAUUUAUCAGAUCGGGUUUGAUCUGUACGUAGAAGAUGCAUCAGUGCAAGGAGCAGAUGAAGACAAGGACCCUGAUGAGUGUGGUUCCUCUGGACGAAGCAGACGCGCAUGCUGCUCUCAAGAUAUUGCAAAUACGAAUUCUUCUUUGUUUUUGGUCACUGAUGUUGCACUGACUACCUAUGUGGCAAUGGCAACCGGCAACUAACACUGACAAACCAACUGCAGGGUAACUUCAUUAACAUGUACACUCAAGAGACCUGAUAAACUGACAAGCAGGAGAAAGGACCUGCAUUGGUUAGUUCACAGAAGCUGCAUUGCUGGAACGAGAAGGGGAGCAAGUAACGACAGCUUUAUUUCACAGAACUGUUAGUGGCAAUUACAAAACAAGAGCUCACUUUUCAUGUAUAUCGAUAAUUGCGACAGAAAGCAUGCAACAGCAGAUGCGGUUUCUUCACAUUACAUGUUCACAAACUACUAAAAGUCCAAGCUCACCACAGAGUUAUUCCAGAAACUCAAGUAGCACACAUUUUAUUCAGACAUGCACACUAGCCAAACACUUAAACAAACAUUAAAAACGAGCCUUCCCAUACAUGAGCUCGUGUUGGGGUUCUUGAUCAGCCAUCCUUAGUCCAUCGACGGCUCGAGACAGACAUCCAGGUCCACGAGCAGGCAAUUACGUCAUCUUCAAGAGAUGUAGCACCCUUUAUGAAAGCAAAAAAAAGAAAAUAAAUUGAAAGGAAAUAGCUUGUAACUGGCUCAUGACAGGAAUGAUGGUGUAGAAUUUAUUCUUUCUUCACCGAUUGUUGUUGUAGUGAUUUAUUGGUCAAUUUUAUAUAAUUAUAAUCUAGAAAUUAGAGUAUUUUUUUCAAAAUAAAUUUAUGUUAUUAAUUGCAUUUUCUAUGGACUCUUUAUUAUUUAACUAUUUUCUUUCUAGAUCACAUAGAAAUCAACUACUAAUUUCUUUAUUUUUUAAUUUCGAAUAUAUAUAUAUUAAUAGUAGUUGGUAUGGACUCUUUAGGUUAGUCCAGACCGUUAGAUCUUCAUAAAAAUCCAACGGUGUAUAUCGUUCCCUUUGUGGAAAUUUCUAGAUUCUCUCGGCGAACGUGGUGGCUUAUUUUAACACUAUUGUAUUAAGAUAAUAGAUAAGAGCACGAAUGGAAAAUAGAGGAGAGAUAAGUAUGUAUGAUAUUCAAAUAUCCAGUGAGCGGUCAUACCUCGCAUACUCACCACCAGGUGUAGACAUCCAUGUCUUCCUCGUGCAGCUGCUGGUGCUUCUCUUGGAGUCCAGGCAGCCACCGUGAGGAGACAUCUUGCAUGCCCUCAUACAGAAACAGCUGGUGCAAUCUGUCCAACCUCUCGAUCUAUAUACCUCAAGUUUGGACACCGCUGUGCACGCAGCUCUCUCACCUCGGGAAUAUUUGAGACCCUCUCUAGGCCUUCACAUCCAGCAAUUAAAAGCGUCUCAGAGAGGAAUGGGAGGUUCUCCACCACCAUAAUGCUAUCCACAUCUCUUAACUGGAGCUCCUUCAAGCUGGUGGCCUCCUGUCCAAGCUGCCGUGGGAGAGCUCCCAGCUUGGGGCAGCACUCAAGUUCCAACUUUUCCAAACGUGGUAGCAGCUGCAUCCUUGGAGGUGGGGCUUCCCCCUUUUGGUUUGCAGCAGCACCAUCCUUACCUGCUGCUGCUGCUGUCGCUUCUUCUUCUUCUUCAACAACAAAGGUCCACUCCUCCCAGUUGGGCAUAUCCUCGAUGUACAACGUUUCAAGCUUGGGGAAAGCAACUGCCUCUGCAGAUCCGGGAUUACCCACCCCGUGGCCAACAAAUUCGGGUCCAAUCUUGGUGACUGUAGUGGCUUCCUCGAUUCCCACAAGUUUCAAAUACAUCAAUGAUGGAAAAUGUGUAGCGGUAUCAAGCCAGGUGGGAAACCUCCGACCAAAGAAAUCUGCAAUACCUAUAUCUUCAAUGCUCUGUGGAGGGAUUAGCUUCUCAAGCACCCUCUCUAUAUUGAUUAUAUCCCUUUCACUGUAUGGUUCAUGUGUACGUUCAGUACAACAUAAAUUGAGUUGUUUGAGAAACUUUUUGUCUAGUAACAAUAAAUCUGUAAUACAAGGAGAUGCUCUCUCCAAUUUAUACAUAUCAAGCUUCCUCAGCUCAAAAAGAGGACCCAGCUCUUCUAGGCUCCAUCCAUCUUGCGUUCUGGCACUAUUAUCACUGCCACCACCAACCGAAAAUCCUUCAAGAUCAUUCAGGAGCUUCAAUUUAGCAAUCCCUUUUGGAACCUGGUUUAUUGGUGUUUGAGCCAGACCAAGGCGUCUCAAGUUACAUAAUCGAGUUAUACCUAAUGGGAGACUAUGCAAAGCAUGGCACCGCUGCAAGUUCAAUGUCUGAAGGUUUUCUAGUGAACCAAUAGACUCAGGAAGACAAGAUAUGUCAGUUC
rnacentral:lncRNA from 1 species